AGUGAACGCUGGCGGUAGGCCUAACACAUGCAAGUCGAACGGCAGCACAGUAAGAGCUUGCUCUUACGGGUGGCGAGUGGCGGACGGGUGAGGAAUACAUCGGAAUCUACUUUUUCGUGGGGGCUAACGUAGGGAAACUUACGCUAAUACCGCAUACGACCUACGGGUGAAAGCAGGGGAUCUUCGGACCUUGCGCGAUUGAAUGAGCCGAUGUCGGAUUAGCUAGUUGGCGGGGUAAAGGCCCACCAAGGCGACGAUCCGUAGCUGGUCUGAGAGGAUGAUCAGCCACACUAAAGCUGAGACACGGUCCAGACUCCUACGAGAGGCAGCAGUGGGGAAUAUUGGACAAUGAGCGCAAGCCUGAUCCAGCCAUACCACGUGGGUGAAGAAGACCUUCGGGUUGUAAAGCCCUUUUGUUGGGAAAGAAAAGCAGCAGGUUAAUACCCCGCUGUUCUGACGGUACCCAAAGAAUAAGCACCGGCUAACCUCGUG
rnacentral:rRNA from 1 species